rnacentral:ncRNA from 1 species
AUGCCAGGGGAGCGAUUGCUGAGAUUGAAUCCGUCAGGAUUCUAACCCUCACAACCUGAACCGGAUAAUACCGGCGGAGGGAGGCAGUUU